rnacentral:rRNA from 1 species
GACGAAGGAUGACAGCGUUAUCCGGAUUCAUUGGGUUUAAAGGGAGCGUAGGUGGCCUUAUAAGUCAGUGGUGAAAUCUCUGGGCUUAACCCAGAAAUUGCCAUUGAUACUGUAGGGCUUGAGUAUAGUUGCCGUUGGCGGAAUAUGACAUGUAGUGGUGAAAUACAUAGAGAUGUCAUAGAACACCGAUUGCGAAGGCAGCUAACGAAACUAUAACUGACACUGAGGCUCGAAAGUGCGGGGAUCAAACAGG